UAUUGCACAAUGGGCGAAAGCCUGAUGCAGCGACGCCGCGUGAAGGAUGAAGUAUUUCGGUAUGUAAACUUCUAUCAGCAGGGAAGAAGAUGACGGUACCUGAGUAAGAAGACCCGGCUAACUACGUGCCAUCAGCCGCGGUAAUACGUAGGGGGCAAGCGUUAUCCGGAUUUACUGGGUGUAACGGGAGCGUAGACGGUGAGACAAGUCUGAAGUGAAAGCCCGGGGCUCAACCCCGGGACUGCUUUGGAAACUGCCUGACUGGAGUGCUGGAGAGGCAAGCGGAAUUCCUAGUGUAGCGGUGAAAUGCGUAGAUAUUAGGAAGAACACCAGUGGCGAAGGCGGCUUGCUGGACAGUAACUGACGUUGAGGCUCGAAAGCGUGGGGAGCAAACAGG
rnacentral:rRNA from 1 species